UGAUACCCCUGCCGAUGGCAGAGGAGUUGGAAGUAGAUAAUCUUUAAGGUACCUUCCAACCCAACCUGUUCUAUGA